UAUGUAGGGCGCAAGCGUUAUCCGGAAUUAUUGGGCGUAAAGAGCUCGCAGGCGGUUUGUCGCGUCUGCCGUGAAAGUCCGGGGCUCAACUCCGGAUCUGCGGUGGGUACGGGCAGACUAGAGUGAUGUAGGGGAGACUGGAAUUCCUGGUGUAGCGGUGAAAUGCGCAGAUAUCAGGAGGAACACCGAUGGCGAAGGCAGGUCUCUGGGCAUUAACUGACGCUGAGGAGCGAAAGCAUGGGGAGCGAACAGG
rnacentral:rRNA from 1 species